rnacentral:rRNA from 1 species
ACGCGUUAAAUCGACCGCCUGGGGAGUACGGCCGCAAGGUUAAAACUCAAAUGAAUUGACGGGGGCCCGCACAAGCGGUGGAGCAUGUGGUUUAAUUCGAUGCAACGCGAAGAACCUUACCUACUCUUGACAUCCAGAGAACUUUCCAGAGAUGCUUUGGUGCCUUCGGGAACUCUGAGACAGGUGCUGCAUGGCUGUCGUCAGCUCGUGUUGUGAAAUGUUGGGUUAAGUCCCGCAACGAGCGCAACCCUUAUCCUUUGUUGCCAGCGGUUCGGCCGGGAACUCAAAGGAGACUGCCAGUGAUAAACUGGAGGAAGGUGGGGAUGACGUCAAGUCAUCAUGGCCCUUACGAGUAGGGCUACACACGUGCUACAAUGGCAUAUACAAAGAGAAGCGACCUCGCGAGAGCAAGCGGACCUCAUAAAGUAUGUCGUAGUCCGGAUUGGAGUCUGCAACUCGACUCCAUGAAGUCGGAAUCGCUAGUAAUCGUAGAUCAGAAUGCUACGGUGAAUACGUUCCCGGGCCUUGUACACACCGCCCGUCACACCAUGGGAGUGGGUUGCAAAAGAAGUAGGUAGCUUAACCUUCGGGAGGGCGCUUACCACUUUGUGAUUCAUGACUGGGGUGAAGUCGU